rnacentral:rRNA from 1 species
AACGAACGCUGGCGGCAUGCCUAACACAUGCAAGUCGAACGAGACCUUCGGGUCUAGUGGCGCACGGGUGCGUAACGCGUGGGAACCUGCCCUUAGGUUCGGAAUAACUCCCCGACAGGGGUGCUAAUACCGGAUAAUGUCUUCGGACCAAAGAUUUAUCGCCUUUGGAUGGGCCCGCGUUGGAUUAGCUAGUUGGUAGGGUAAAAGCCUACCAAGGCGACGAUCCAUAGCUGGUCUGAGAGGAUGAUCAGCCACACUGGGACUGAGACGCGGCCCAGACUCCUACGGGAGGCAGGAGUGGGGAAUAUUGGACAAUGGGCGAAAGCCUGAUCCAGCAAUGCCGCGUGAGUGAUGAAGGCCUUAGGGUUGUAAAGCUCUUUUACCCGGGAUGAUAAUGACAGUACCGGGAGAAUAAGCACCGGCUAACUCCGUG